UCCGUAGGGUGCGAGCGUUGUCCGGAAUUAUUGGGCGUCAAGAGCUUGUAGGCGGUUUGUCGCGUCUGCUGUGAAAAUCCGGGGCUCAACCCCGGACUUGCAGUGGGUACGGGCAGACUAGAGUGUGGUAGGGGAGACUGGAAUUCCUGGUGUAGCGGUGAAAUGCGCAGAUAUCAGGAGGAACACCGAUGGCGAAGGCAGGUCUCUGGGCCACUACUGACGCUGAGAAGCGAAAGCAUGGGGAGCGAACAGG
rnacentral:rRNA from 1 species